GGUCGAUACAUCACACGCGCUCAUAACCUUCUUUUCCUUUCCUUUUCUACUCUUCUUCUUCUUCCUUCUAUUCUUCAACCUUCUGUAUGUAUUCCACUUCCAGCUAGGUUUCAAAAAAACCCAAAAGAUCCAUUAUGUAUCUCACUUUUUCUCUGAGAUUAGCUUUCACACGGAUCGACCUUCGAAUUUGGGUUCAUCUUUGCAUAUUAAUCUUGUGAUGGAGUCUAUAAAGCCCUACUACAUCAUACUCUCUCUUCUACUGGAUCUGGUUUUGUUUUUCUGGUUGUUGUUUAGUGAAGGAAGUUUUUCUGUUUUUUUUUUUCACGAAAUCAGGUUCGUCAAUUUCACCUUUCACCUAAUUUUUGGUUGAAUUUGAAUGUUUGUUUCACAUAUUAGGGCAAAAUUAGCAUAAUAGGAUUUUGGUUGAAUUUUUAGUAUAAUAUGUGUAUUUUUUGAAUUUUCGUUGAAUUUGAAUGUUUGU